rnacentral:rRNA from 1 species
GCGAUAAGCGCCGGUAAGGUGAUAUGAACCGUUAUAACCGGCGAUACCCGAAUGGGGAAACCCAGUGUGAUUCGUCACACUAUCAUUAACUGAAUCCAUAGGUUAAUGAGGCGAACCGGGGGAACUGAAACAUCUAAGUACCCCGAGGAAAAGAAAUCAACCGAGAUUCCCCCAGUAGCGGCGAGCGAACGGGGAGGAGCCCAGAGCCUGAAUCAGCAUGUGUGUUAGUGGAAGCGUCUGGAAAGGCGCGCGAUACAGGGUGACAGCCCCGUACACAAAAGCGCAUGUGCUGUGAGCUCGAUGAGUAGGGCGGGACACGUGGUAUCCUGUCUGAAUAUGGGGGGACCAUCCUCCAAGGCUAAAUACUCCUGACUGACCGAUAGUGAACCAGUACCGUGAGGGAAAGGCGAAAAGAACCCCGGCGAGGGGAGUGAAAAAGAACCUGAAACCGUGU